rnacentral:rRNA from 1 species
AAACGAUCUCGACAACGGAUAUCUCGGCUCUCGCAUCGAUGAAGAACGUAGCGAAAUGCGAUACUUGGUGUGAAUUGCAGAAUCCCGUGAACCAUCGAGUCUUUGAACGCAAGUUGCGCCCGAAACCAUUAGGUUGAGGGCACGUCUGCCUGGGUGUCACGU